CUAACACAUGCAAGUCGAACGAGAUCUUCGGAUCUAGUGGCAGACGGGUGAGUAACGCGUGGGAACCUGCCCUUUAGUAGAGAAUAACUCGGGGAAACUCGAGCUAAUACUUUAUACGCCCUUUGGGGGAAAGCUUUAUGCGCUAUUGGAUGGGCCCGCGUUAGAUUAGUUUGUUGGUGAGGUAACGGCUCACCAAGGCUACGAUCUAUAGCUGGUCUGAGAGGAUGAUCAGCCACACUGGGACUGAGACACGGCCCAGACUCCUACGGGAGGCAGCAGUGGGGAAUAUUGGACAAUGGGGGCAACCCUGAUCCAGCGAUGCCGCGUGAGUGAUGAAGGCCCUAGGGUUGUAAAGCUCUUUUGUCAGGGAAGAUAAUGACGGUACCUGAAGAAUAAGAUCCGGCUAACUCCGUGCCAGCAGCCGCGGUAAUACGGAGGGAUCUAGCGUUAUUCGGAAUUACUGGGCGUAAAGCGAGCGUAGGCUGAUUUGUAAGUUGGAUGUGANAUCCCAGAGCUUAACUCUUGGAACUGCAUCCAAAACUACAUUUCUUGAGUUUGGUAGAGGAGAGUGGAAUUCCUUAGUGUANAGGUGAAAUUUCGUAGAUAUUAGGAGGAACACCAGUGGG
rnacentral:rRNA from 1 species